rnacentral:rRNA from 1 species
AUUGAACGCUGGAGGCAGGCCUAACACAUGCAAGUCGAGCGAGCGGCGGACGGGUGAGUAAUGUAUGGGAACUGCCCGAUCGAGGGGGAUAACUACGGGAAACGGUGGCUAGUACCGCAUACGGUCGGAUAACCCAGAGGGGAUUAGCUAGUAGGUAAGGUAACGGUUUAACUAGGCGACGAACACUAGCUGGGCUGAGAGGAUGAUCAGCCACACUGGGACUGAGACACGGCCCAGACUCCUACGGAGGCAGCAGUGGGGAAUAUUGCACAAUGGGCGCAAGCCUGAUGCAGCCAUGCCGCGUGUAUGAAGAAGGCCUUAGGGUUGUAAAGUACUUUCAGUCGGGAGGCGUUACCGACAGAAGAAGCACCGGCUAACUCCGUGCCAGCAGCCGCGGUAAUUC